rnacentral:lncRNA from 1 species
GGGGGGGGUGUGUGUAAAGGUGUGACAAUUAUAUGGAAUAUGAUUGUGGCAUUCACUUAAUAAAGUGACGGCGCUGUUAGUUUUCAUCAAAACAGAAUUUUUAUACUUAAUUCUGUUGUGAGGGGAAAAUGAAAUGACAUUAAGCAAUUAUUAGAUUCAAUCCAGAUUUGGCAUUUUAAUCUUUUUUACAUUUAGGUAGUCGAAAUGGGAAAU